rnacentral:rRNA from 1 species
CUGAACCUUCGGGGGACGAUAACGGCGUCGAGCGGCGGACGGGUGAGUAAUGCCUAGGAAAUUGCCCUGAUGUGGGGGAUAACCAUUGGAAACGAUGGCUAAUACCGCAUGAUGCCUACGGGCCAAAGAGGGGGACCUUCGGGCCUCUCGCGUCAGGAUAUGCCUAGGUGGGAUUAGCUAGUUGGUGAGGUAAGGGCUCACCAAGGCGACGAUCCCUAGCUGGUCUGAGAGGAUGAUCAGCCACACUGGAACUGAGACACGGUCCAGACUCCUACGGGAGGCAGCAGUGGGGAAUAUUGCACAAUGGGCGCAAGCCUGAUGCAGCCAUGCCGCGUGUAUGAAGAAGGCCUUCGGGUUGUAAAGUACUUUCAGUCGUGAGGAAGGUGGUAGUGUUAAUAGCACUAUCAUUUGACGUUAGCGACAGAAGAAGCACCGGCUAACUCCGUGCCAGCAGCCGCGGUAAUACGGAGGGUGCGAGCGUUAAUCGGAAUUACUGGGCGUAAAGCGCAUGCAGGUGGUUUGUUAAGUCAGAUGUGAAAGCCCGGGGCUCAACCUCGGAAUAGCAUUUGAAACUGGCAGACUAGAGUACUGUAGAGGGGGGUAGAAUUUCAGGUGUAGCGGUGAAAUGCGUAGAGAUC